AGAGAAUACUAAGGCGAUCGAGAGAACUGUGGUUAAGGAACUCGGCAAAAUGCCCCCGUAACUUCGGGAGAAGGGGGACCAGUCCUGGUGACGACAUUUACUGUCUGAGCUGGGGUUGGUCGCAGAGACCAGAGAGAAGCGACUGUUUACUAAAAACACAGGUCCGUGCGAAGUCGUAAGACGAUGUAUACGGACUGACGCCUCCCCGGUGCUGGAAGGUUAAGAGGACCGGUCAGCCACUUCGGUGGCGAAGCUGAGAAUUUAAGCCCCAGUAAACGGCGGUGGUAACUAUAACCAUCCUAAGGUAGCGAAAUUCCUUGUCGGGUAAGUUCCGACCUGCACGAAUGGCGUAACGACUUCUCUGCUGUCCCAACCACAGACUCGGCGAAAUUGCAGUACGAGUAAAGAUGCUCGUUACGCGCGGCAGGACGAAAAGACCCCGGGACCUUCACUAUAGCUUGGUAUUGGUGUUCGGUUCGGUUUGUGUAGGAUAGGUGGGAGACUGUGAAACUCGCACGCCAGUGUGGGUGGAGUCAUUGUUGAAAUACCACUCUGACCGUAUUGGACAUCUAACCUCGGACCAUGAUCUGGUUCAGGGACAGUGCCUGGUGGGUAGUUUAACUGGGGCGGUUGCCUCCUAAAAAGUAACGGAGGCGCCCAAAGGUUCCCUCAGCCUGGUUGGCAAUCAGGUGUUGAGUGUAAGUGCACAAGGGAGCUUGACUGUGAGACGUACAUGUCGAGCAGGGACGAAAGUCGGGACUAGUGAUCCGGCACCGGCAAGUGGAAGCGGUGUCGCUCAACGGAUAAAAGGUACCCCGGGGAUAACAGGCUGAUCUUCCCCAAGAGUCCAUAUCGACGGGAUGGUUUGGCACCUCGAUGUCGGCUCGUCGCAUCUUGGGGCUGGAGUAGGUCCCAAGGGUUGGGCUGUUCGCCCAUUAAAGCGGCACGCGAGCUGGGUUUAGAACGUCGUGAGACAGUUCGGUCUCUAUCCGCCGCGCGCGUAAGAAACUUGAGGAAACCUGUCCCUAGUACGAGAGGACCGGGACGGACGAACCUCUGGUGUGCCAGUUGUUCCACCAGGAGCACCGCUGGUUAGCUACGUUCGGAAGGGAUAACCGCUGAAAGCAUCUAAGCGGGAAGCCUGUUCCAAGAUGAGGUUUCUCACCACCUAGCGUGGUUGAGGCCCCCCACAGACCAUGGGGUUGAUAGGCCAGAACUGUAAGCACAGCAAUGUGUUCAGGUGACUGGUACUAAUCGGCCGAGGACUU
rnacentral:rRNA from 1 species